rnacentral:sRNA from 1 species
UAGAAAGAGUUCUCCAAGACCGCUGCUGC